ensembl:snRNA U6 U6 spliceosomal RNA
GUGCUUGCUUUGGCAGCCCAUGUGCUAAAAUUGGACGGAUCUAGAGAAGAUUAGCAUGGGCCCUGAGCAAGGAUGAUAUGCAAAUCCUUUUAAGGUUGCUUAUUUUU